GUUUCCGUAGUGUAGCGGUUAUCACGUUCGCCUCACACGCGAAAGGUCCCCGGUUCGAACCCGGGCGGAAACA
rfam:Ciona savignyi cont_59378, whole genome shotgun sequence.